rnacentral:rRNA from 1 species
AGUGAACGCUGGCGGUAGGCCUAACACAUGCAAGUCGAACGGCAGCACAGUAAGAGCUUGCUCUUACGGGUGGCGAGUGGCGGACGGGUGAGGAAUACAUCGGAAUCUACUUUUUCGUGGGGGAUAACGUAGGGAAACUUACGCUAAUACCGCAUACGACGUACGGGUGAAAGCAGGGGAUCUUCGGACCUUGCGCGAUUGAAUGAGCCGAUGUCGGAUUAGCUAGUUGGCGGGGUAAAGGCCCACCAAGGCGACGAUCCGUAGCUGGUCUGAGAGGAUGAUCAGCCACAUUGGAACUGAGACACGGUCCAGACUCCUAAGGGAGGCAGCAGUGGGGAAUAUUGGACAAUGGGCGCAAGCCUGAUCCAGCCAUACCGCGUGGGUGAAGAAGGCCUUCGGGUUGUAAAGCCCUUUUGUUGGGAAAGAAAAGCAGCAGGUUAAUACCCCGCUGUUCUGACGGUACCCAAAGAAUAAGCACCGGCUAACUUCGUG